rnacentral:sRNA from 1 species
CGAAAAACCAGCGUCAACAGGCGCUGGCGAGGACUUCAGUCAGACCGUCAGAUACCGUGCAGGGGGGUCGGUAAACGGUGACGCGUUGCGUCAAAAGGGACCGGGGGCAGUGGUAAAAAGGUUCACGCCCUGCAACCAAUGUGGACGGAUUCUAUGCAGGGUUUUAUAGAUCGUCAACACUAUAGACUGGCAAAUGUAUAACUAAUUGUAA